rnacentral:rRNA from 1 species
GAUGAACGCUGGCGGCGUGCCUAAUACAUGCAAGUCGAGCGAACAGACGCGGAGCUUGCACCUCUGACGUUAGCGGCGGACGGGUGAGUAACACGUGGAUAACCUACCUAUAAGACUGGGAUAACUUCGGGAAACCGGAGCUAAUACCGGAUAAUAUAUUGAACCGCAUGGUUCAAUAGUGAAAGACGGUUUUGCUGUCACUUAUACAUGGAUCCGCGCCGCAUUAGCUGUUUGGUAAGGUAACGGCUUACCAAGGCAACGAUGCGUAGCCGACCUGAGAGGGUGAUCGGCCACACUGGAACUGAGACACGGUCCAGACUCCUACGGGAGGCAGCAGUAGGGAAUCUUCCGCAAUGGGCGAAAGCCUGACGGAGCAACGCCGCGUGAGUGAUGAAGGUCUUCGGAUCGUAAAACUCUGUUAUUAGGGAAGAACAAAUGUGUAAGUAACUAUGCACGUCUUGACGGUACCUAAUCAGAAAGCCACGGCUAACUACGUG